CGGAUUUAACAGUAAUUGUCCAAUAACCAUUUUGGAAAUUUAAAACAAACAUUUUUCUAAAUAUAUUACUACAAUGGGUUGUUGUUUUUGAUGAGAAGCUUCUUCGUCGUUGAAGAUAAAGACAUAUCUUGGUGGGACAACAACGAGAGAGAGAGUGGAAGGUAAAGACAUAUCUUAGUGGGACAACAACGAGAGAAAGGUUGAACAAGAGUCAUUUUUCAGAAGAUAAGAGAAGUAAGCAUGGAAUGUGUUUGGCUUCAAUUUUAAGUCCAAUCUUAGCCCGAAUAAGAAAUCAAGCUCCAGAAAACUCCACUAUAGCAACAAAAACGAAGGAGGAAUGACCAAACUUAGCUCCAGAAGAAUCAAGCAACAAAAAGCAAUUCCACUAAGACAAUCAAUGUCAAUCUGUAACCUUUUUCAUAAUAUAGAGUAGAUAAUUUUAUCUGUUUGCGAGACAAAAUCGAAAGAAGAAGGACCAAACUCAUCAAUGAAACCAAUCUGAUGUUUUGGUAAUUUGAAUACGAACGUAAUCGGAACACAGAGAGAUGUGCCAUGGCGAAUGAAGAAAGUCUGAGUGGCGAUGUCACAGUUAUAGUGCACAAUUCUGGUUCCACUGAGAGCGGCCAUGGAAACAGCCAUGUGGGACUCGGACACGGCAUACAUUGGCGAAGCGACACAGUGGAUCGAUAGUGGAACAUGCUUGCUGAGGCAUGUGGUAGCGAGACGGCGUCUGUGGAGAAGUCGAUGUGCGGUAGAAAUAUGUUGUCGUAGGUAUAAGAGUAUCCCUGUACGGAUAACAUUUCUGCUGAGAAUCCAUCCUCCAAUCCCGACAUCUCCAGUACAACAAUGGCGUUGCCGCCAAUAGAGAGAGAAAUGAACAAAGAAGGUAAGAAGACAAGAUCUUAGAAACUCUCUAUUGAUCGCUCAUGCCUAAAGAAGUAUAUACAUUUAGGAACAGCUCUCCUUUCGUCGGUGUAAUGAAGACAUGCUAUGAAUAAUGUAAACCCAAGCGCAAAUGCUGGCUGCAAUGAAAGGAAACAUGGCAACGAAUUAAGAAUCAAGUGAGAGCAACAAAGGGGCCUUCGCAGACGUCCCCUCUUCUUCUUGGGCGGCUCUCCAACAUGCGACACAUGAAUCCACUCCAUCUCGGGCACCGGCUUUGCCCUCUUCGGGUGUCUUUUCCUCACUUUUCCAGAUUCGCCUCGGGUUCUGGUUUAGGAAAUGAUGGAACAAACUAGCAAUUCUGACGCCUCUGCUCCUCCAAGAUUUGGCAAUGAAGCCACAGUUCUUCAUACUUGAUGAUGAGGACAUCAAGUCAUCAUCAGAAAAGGAGAAAGGAACCAAGAGCAAAUCAUUGGAGAACAUGAAACCGAGAAGAGCUAAAAAAGCCAACCAGGACAUAUGUGCAAUCAAAACGCCAUAUCUUACAAACCAGGAGGAAUUUAUUCAUGAAACUGAUUUUUCUGGAUACUACACUCAACAAGAGCACGCGAAUAAUUAGUUUCACAUCAAAAGGAUUAAUGUUCUAGAAGAUAUGCCAUUUUCAAGUCAAAGGUGGCUUGACUUGCCUUAUCUAGAAGACGUUGCGCUACUUCUAGAAGCACUCCACAACCCCUUAAGAAGCAGCAGCACACACUGGAUCAGGCGGAUCCUUGAAGAAUACAAUCAAAUCAAACCGGAACUAAACAUGGAAAGUUGGACAAUUAUUUGGUUUGAUCAUUACUAAACCAAGAUAUGGAGACCAGGAGACAUCUUACAUCUACCAGAGUAUCAAGAAGAGAAGAAUAUGGAGCAGUUUACCUUUUUGGAUUCAAGCAGCAUUUUUCUCUAAGAUCUCCAACGGCUCUUUCCAUCAUUCUGUGGAGCUUUGAAGAUACUUCAGUAAAUCAGGAUAUUCCCAGGCGUCAUCAAUUCAUGCCCAAGCUAUAAAGACUCAAAAGAAUCCCUUCCAUCUGGCCAAAUUCCCCCAAACUACUCCAAACAGCAAGUUUUUUUUUUUAAAUGUUGAAGGUUUUCUGUUUUAUUUCUUUUAUUUUGAGCAUUAUAUAAGCCUAGUAGUAUCAAAAUUGUAAACCCACUUUUUAUCUAAGUAUUAACUAGAAAGUAAUGUGUUCUUUUCAAAGAAAUGUGUCUUUGAGUUGUU